rnacentral:rRNA from 1 species
UAGGGAAUCUUCCGCAAUGGACGCAAGUCUGACGGAGCAACGCCGCGUGAGUGAAGAAGGAUUUCGGUUCGUAAAACUCUGUUGUUAGAGAAGAACAGCGCAUAGAGUAACUGUUAUGCGUGUGACGGUAUCUAACCAGAAAGCCACGGCUAACUACGUGCCAGCAGCCGCGGUAAUACGUAGGUGGCAAGCGUUGUCCGGAUUUAUUGGGCGUAAAGCGAGCGCAGGCGGUCAAUUAAGUCUGAUGUGAAAGCCCCCGGCUCAACCGGGGAGGGUCAUUGGAAACUGGUUGACUUGAGUGCAGAAGAGGAGAGUGGAAUUCCAUGUGUAGCGGUGAAAUGCGUAGAUAUAUGGAGGAACACCAGUGGCGAAGGCGACUCUCUGGUCUGUAACUGACGCUGAGGCUCGAAAGCGUGGGGAGCGAGCAGG